GAUGAACGCUGGCGGCGUGCUUAACACAUGCAAGUCGAACGAUGAAGCUGGAGCUUUCUCUGGUGGAUUAGUGGCGAACGGGUGAGUAACACGUGAGCAACCUACCCCUGACUCUGGGAUAACAGCCGGAAACGGCUGCUAAUACCGGAUAUGCACCAUGAACGCAUGUUCUGUGGUGGGAAAGAUUUUUCGGUUUGAGAUGGGCUCGCGGCCUAUCAGCUUGUUGGUGAGUUAAUGGCUCACCAAGGCGUCGACGGGUAGCCGGCCUGAGAGGUUGACCGGCGACAAUGGGACUGAGAGACGGAGCAGACGCCUACGGGAGGCAGAAGUGGAGAAUAUUGCACAAUGGGCGAAAGCCUGAUGCAGAAACGCCGCGUGAGGGAUGACGGCCUUCGGGUUGUAAACCUCUUUUAGCGGGGAAGAAGCGAGAGUGACGGUACCUGAAGAAAAAGCGACGGCUAACUACGUG
rnacentral:rRNA from 1 species